UUAUAUUCGUGGUUCAUUUUGGAAACGCCCAUGUUGUCGCAUCCGUUCUCCGUUCGCGGGGGCGUCGGGGCGAAUGAUACAUACGCGGGUUUUGAAAAGCACAGUCGCGGUAGAAUUUCACACAUACCCCGACGCUAAAUAUAGCUGCUACGGACAAAAACUGGCUUUCUACUUUAAAUUACAUUCCGUGACAAAAAUUAGGAUUUACAGGAACUCCUUCGUCAGCCGGACGCGAAUGAGACGCGGGGUUUUAGCCGCGCGGUCGUUGUAGUAUUUCACACAUAUACCGCCUUAACUGGGUUACAUGCUUCAGUGAGAAAGUUGAGGAACAAAGUCGUCCGCGGGACACGAAUGAGACGUGCAAUGGGCUUCAUCUGCAUCGCGGUUUUGGUAGAAUUUCACACAUAUUCCUCAAAUAGCAGCUAUGAACCAAAAACUCUGGGAUUAAAUAUUUCAGUGACUUUUAGGAUUUACGCGGAUUUCGUGUUGAUCAGCACACUUGAUGUUUUUGGUGUUUGUGGUAUGGUUUAAAUUUGCACCCAUCUGUUAACACAUGCGAUUGAACGAAAACGCGUUCCUAAACAGGUACAUAAUCACACACAAUCCGCUUUAACCCGGUAACGUUAGCUUUAAAUUACUUCAGGAUAAUUACGUUUGAUUAAUAAUGUUUUUUCCUUAUUUCAUAAUCCUUUUAUAUAUACACAUGUGUACAGUACAGUGCUUAAUUUGUAAAUAUCUUUACAGUGGGGUGAGCAAUUGGACAGGCAGGUGGAGAGGAGACACUAGAUGCAUUCAUCCCAGCUUCCUGUCUGACUUUGCCACUCUGUUCACAGCAUAUCAUCUUCAUUCAAAGCGCUCUGUAUCUGGAGAGAGGAACAAAGAAGUCAGGAGGAAAAGUAAACAUCAGGCCAAAUGGUACAGAAGAAACAGGUUGCAGUGAACCUACAUGUUGCUACACUUCUUUGCAAAGUGAUGGAUUUGCAGUGGAGUUUAUACAAUUUGUCGGAUACUCUUCACAGCAUCGGUUAUCAAUCGCUGGCGGUCUCCCUCGGCGGCACUACCGUCGCCUUUCACAACCUGUGAUGGAACACAGUCUGGAGCCGAAUUGUUCUCCUUGACCAGAAGUUUAUUGGAAUCGCUUGGGAUCAUUUGGACAUACUGGACUGUUCCUGCAGUGGUGACAAUUAAUCUGUUUUUUAUGCAACAAUUAUACAACUUCAUUUCAUUUUGUCAUCCACGAAAUUUUUUUGUGAGUCCUAUUGGAUUUGAUUCCUAUCAACAGUGAAGGUAAAGACCCAUUGUUCCACACUCUUUUAUAGCAUUAUCAAGCUAUGCCAUUGUUGUUGUCAUCGUUGUUUAGCAACCUCUAGCUAAAUAUAUUUAAUAUUGUGCCUUUAAAGUUAUGCAGUUUUUUAGCUAUUCCUCUUUCUGUGUGAAGGGCCACACAGUGUACAUGUUUCAAUUACUUUUAAAAUAUUUAAUUUCAUGUCCAUUAAAAAAACAUUCAAAAUAUAUGUUUUGACA